AUGGCAGUGCAUCAGCCACACCCCGGGGUUGUCGGCGACGAACCGGAUGACAGCCCACCCAUUCACCGGGACGCCCACCGUGUUCCUCAUUGGUGGGUCGUCCAGGUUGAACUUUGCGGUGUCGGUAGCGGCAUCGAAGUUGCCGAAGCCCUCAGCGAGGAUGAAGAAGUCGUAGCCAUGGGUGUGGAUAGGGUGGUUCUCCCCGGCGAAGAUGUUGGUGCCCUGGAGCACGAUCUGCACCACGGAGCCGUACUUGAGCUUGUACACCUUGGUGCCUGGCACGGGCUGCCAGAGCGCGCGGCUCACAUUCUGCGCUGUGUAGUCGAACUGCACCGGCGGGUUGGCGGGGAAGUCGGUGGUAAAGACGCCGGUGGCGGCGGCAUCGCCCUGAUAGUGUGCCUGGAGGAUGGAGACGGUGGAGGGGAGCACGAAGGAGGCGUUGUUGAUGCUCGCCGCGAACCGUGUGUUGUUGGGGCCGCCGCAGUUCUGUCCGCUGGAGCAGUUGAAGAGGCCGACGCCGACGGUGAAGAAAAGGUCCUCGUCGACCACCGAGGGGAGGCCCACCGAGUGGAGGUUGCGCAGGCUCGUCGUGAACGUGGUCACCGUGGCCGUGUCAUUGUACGCCGGGAGGGUCGGCAUCGCAGGGCUCGCCGUGCCACCUGCGCUGUAGUCGAAGAUGGCGGUGGUGGUGGUGUUGUCGAAGGGCACACCCUGUGCGCUGGCGUAGGCGCGGGCGGCGAGGUAGUACCGGCCUGGUGGCUGGUCGAAAGUGACGAGGACGUCCGUGGUCUGGCCGGGCCCGAGCACGAUGACAGUGGCGUUGUACGGCUUAAGGUAGGAGGCGUCAGCGCCCACGACGGUCAUGGUGUGGCCGGCGAGGGAGACGAAGAGCUCGGUGUUGAGCGCCGCGUUGAUGAACCGCAGCAGGUUGGUCUCGCCGGACUUGACCGGGAACACGGCCGUGUCUUGGGAGGAGCAGCUGUAGAGGUCGCCGGGCUGGCCGUUGACGGUGAUGGCGUCGGAGAUGUUGGGAGCUGCACCGGUGCGCGUGGCGGUGCGGAUGACGUCGAUGGGGUUCAUGUCCCACCACUCACCUGCGCACAUGCAGCCAGAUUAUUAGUUACAGAAAAUGGUACUGUAGGAGUACUAUCUAUCUAG
rnacentral:rRNA from 1 species